rfam:Geobacter lovleyi SZ, complete genome.
CUGGUCACAGCGCUCUUCGGUCAGGGUCAGGCAGAUCAGGCCGCGGCCAUACUUGGCCAUGAAAUUGAUCGCCUCCGGGGUGACAUGCUCGGCUGCCAUGGUCA